rnacentral:rRNA from 1 species
CCUACGGGCGGCAGCAGUGAGGAAUAUUGGUCAAUGGGCGCUAGCCUGAACCAGCCAAGUAGCGUGAAGGAUGACUGCCCUAUGGGUUGUAAACUUCUUUUAUAUGGGAAUAAAGUGCAGUAUGUAUACUGCUUUGCAUGUACCUUAUGAAUAAGGAUCGGCUAACUCCGUGCCAGCAGCCGCGGUAAUACGGAGGAUUCGAGCGUUAUCCGGAUUUAUUGGGUUUAAAGGGAGCGUAGGCGGGUUGUUAAGUCAGUUGUGAAAGUUUGCGGCUCAACCGUAAAAUUGCAGUUGAUACUGGCAGCCUUGAGUACAGUAGAGGUAGGCGGAAUUCGUGGUGUAGCGGUGAAAUGCUUAGAUAUCACGAAGAACUCCGAUUGCGAAGGCAGCCUGCUGGACUGUAACUGACGCUGAUGCUCGAAAGUGUGGGUAUCAAACAGGAUUAGAUACCCUAGUAGUC